GCUGGCGGCACGCCUAACACAUGCAAGUCGAACGCAGUAGCAAUACUGAGUGGCGAACGGGUGAGUAUAAUGUGGGUAUCUGCCCUUUGGUUUGGAAUAACACGAGGAAACUUGUGCUAAUACCGGAUAAGCCUUCACAGGGAAAGCUUUAGCGCCAAAGGAUGAGCCCGCACUUGAUUAGCUAGUUGGUAAGGUAAUGGCUUACCAAGGCUACGAUCAAUAGCUGAUCUGAGAGGAUGAUCAGCCACAUUGGGACUGAGACACGGCCCAAACUUCUACGGAAGGCAGCAGUGGGGAGUCUUGCACAAUGGGGGAAACCCUGAUGCAGCGAUGCCGCGUGAGUGAAGAAGGCCCUUGGGUUGUAAAGCUCUUUCGUCGGGGAAGAAAAUGACUGUACCCGAAUAAGAAGGUCCGGCUAACUUCGUGCCAGCAGCCGCGGUAAUACGAAGGGACCUAGCGUAGUUCGGAAUUACUGGGCUUAAAGAGCACGUAGGUGGUUAAGAAAGUUGGUGGUGAAAUCCCAAGGCUUAACCUUGGAACUGCCACCAAAACUUUUUAACUAGAGUAUGAUUGAGGUAAGCGGAAUUUCUAGUGUAGAGGUGAAAUUCGUAGAUAUUAGAAAGAACACCAAUUGCGAAGGCAGCUUUCUGGAUCAUUACUGACACUGAGGUGCGAAAGCAUGGGUAGCGAAGAGGAUUAGAUACCCUCGUAGUCCAUGCUGUAAACGAUGUGUGCUAGACGUUGGAAAUUUAUUUUUCAGUGUCGCAGCAAAAGCGUUAAGCACACCGCCUGGGGAGUAC
rnacentral:rRNA from 1 species